ensembl:lncRNA LINC02073 long intergenic non-protein coding RNA 2073
AGUCAUGAUAUUUACCAGCAGUCAAUCCGGUAGGGAGCCUCAGAAUGGAAGUCGAAGCUUGGAGAGAUUCUGUGAAUUGGUGAAGGACACAGAGCAAAGCCAGGAUUCAGAUUCAGACCUGCUUGACUCCAAGAUCAUUCCAGAAAUCUCCCUUUUCCUUUGGACCCUGUGACGUGACAGCUGGGUUCUUUCUGCUCUGAUUUCCAUGCCUGACAACCAUUUAAAUGGAAUACAAGAAUGCAGUUUUCUUAGGUUGAAAGAAAUUCACCCUUUAUCAAGAAUUAUUUAUAGUUCCUCUGGAGUGAGAGAGGAAGACAUUACCCACGCAGUGCUCUGUGGAAUCAUCUGAGCCACCACUUCUGCCUUGGGGACAUCAUCUGGGGAAGUAUCUAGAUCCUUUGGCUGAACAACGUGUUUUGAGGUCUUUAAUAUGUCACCUUAAGGAUGAGGCCUAGAGAACAUGGCCUUUUGUUGAACAGUUUGUAAGCUCUCAAAUGUGAGUAAAUGUGAGGAGGGUCUUGAGAGAUAUAGGAAGCUCAAGAAACCU